GGUUCCAUAAUGUAGUGGUUAGCCUGUCUGUUUUACACGCAGAAGGUCCUGGGUUCGCGCCCCAGUGGAGCCA
rnacentral:tRNA from 1 species